CCUACGGUGAGCAGCAGUGAGGAAUAUUGGUCAAUGGCCGAGAGGCUGAACCAGCCAAGUCGCGUGAGGGAAGACGGCCCUACGGGUUGUAAACCUCUUUUGUCGGGGAGCAAAGCGAGUCACGUGUGACUCAUUGAGAGUACCCGAAGAAAAAGCAUCGGCUAACUCCGUGCCAGCAGCCGCGGUAAUACGGAGGAUGCGAGCGUUAUCCGGAUUUAUUGGGUUUAAAGGGUGCGCAGGCGGAGGUGCAAGUCAGCGGUCAAAUUGCGGGGCUCAACCCCGUACUGCCGUUGAAACUGCAUCCCUUGAGUGCGCGAGAAGUAGGCGGAAUGCGUGGUGUAGCGGUGAAAUGCAUAGAUAUUAGGAGGAACAUCAGGGGCGAAGGCGACUUACUGGACUGUAACUGACACUGAGGCACGAAAGCGUGGGGAGCAAACAGGAUUAGAUACCCCGGUAGUC
rnacentral:rRNA from 1 species